rnacentral:pre_miRNA from 1 species
AGUGGGAUAGCUGGGUCAAUGGUGAUUCUACUCCAAGUUUUCUGAGGAAUCUCUACAUUACUUUCCAAAAUGGUUGCAUCAAUUUGCAGUCCCACCAGCAAU